rnacentral:rRNA from 1 species
UACGUAGGGUGCAAGCGUUAAUCGGAAUUACUGGGCGUAAAGCGUGCGCAGGCGGUUUUGUAAGUCUGUCGUGAAAGCCCCGGGCUCAACCUGGGAAUUGCGAUGGAGACUGCAAGGCUUGAAUCUGGCAGAGGGGGGUGGAAUUCCACGUGUAGCAGUGAAAUGCGUAGAGAUGUGGAGGAACACCGAUGGCGAAGGCAGCCCCCUGGGUCAAGAUUGACGCUCAUGCACGAAAGCGUGGGGAGCAAACAGG